UUCUUAGUUCUAGAUUCUUGAUUUUUCCCUAUUUUCUGAGAUAUUAUUCUGCUGGUUUAGGCCGAGGAAGAGUGUAGGUCUACUAGGCCACUCCUCUCUUACCCCCCCUUUUUUUUUCUUUGUUCAUUUUUAUUUUUCAAUUUCAAUUUUGAGUUUGAGAAAUAGUAGAAAAUACCAUGAACAGAUGAUAAAGUAGAGCAAUAGGAAUCAAACUAUAGUAGGACCAUAUAUAAUACAGUACACAUGGCACAGUUUUGUACCAAUCAGGUCAACCCAUAUACUGAUUUAUGGCGCAUGUAUCAAAAUCACACCUAUUAGAAAUUCCUAUCCAUCUAAUCAUGGCCAUCAAGCCAAAGGAAAAAUGAAAGAUUGACACUGAAAUACUCAGUGGAGUAAAUCGAAGAAAGGUGGUAAAUAGGAUUGUCUAAUAGGGAUGAGUUCUACAUGAUAAGGCCUAGUAGAUGGAUAAACCAGAUUGAUAAUUCAACCUGCUAGUUGUGUUGUGGAAAGAUGGCCCUACCACAUUAGAUUCUUCCCCCUCAAACAGAUGGUAUGUAUCAUCAUCUCACCCCUAGUCCACCACUGCUUGGGAUGAAAAACGUAUUAAUAUCUGGUGGAUUAGUUAUGGCAAGGUAUCCCAACUAUAUCCACGUGUGUGCCAACGCCAUGGCUUUGUGAGAUGCAUGACCACAUGAUGAGUGAGGUUGCUUGAAUUGUUGAGCUACCACAUGUUAAGAGUGGUUCUACCUAUGAAUGGCCCUAGAGUCUCAACCUUAAGAGUGGGUUCCAAUGAAUUAUGGCACUAGAUUGAACGCUGUGCAUUGAUUUUUUAAUCAAAUGUUGCCACAAAACAGAUCAUCUUGAUUGUGGGAAAGAGACUGCAUGGUGGGGACCACCCAUGAACACAGAUAAAGUACUUGCUUCUAUAUAGAGGCUUCUUUUUUCAUAUACAGUACAAAUUUUGCUAGCUAUGUGUUUUAGGGAUCAUUUGACAACCUAGAAUUUAGCAAAUUCUCUGAGAAAUUGAAUCUGUUGGUUAUGUCUGGAAACUGGGAAUAAAAUUCUGCAGAAUCUAAAAAUGUGCUUGGGAACUUGGAAUUCAUUACCUUGGAAUGUCAAUUUAUAUGACAAAUUAAAGAAAUAUGCAAGUUUCCCUUGGGAUUUGUAAGCUAUCCCUCAGGCCAAGAAUUCAAGAACUGGCCUUUUGCUGGAAUUGGCUUGAUAACUUGAUAUGAUUGCAUUCAUUAGCUGAUUCUCUCUCUUUUUUUUAUAGCUGAAAUGGUUAUUUUUUCUUUUAUGUUCCUAUGGCUAAAUAGAUGAUGCAGAGGAUGAAAUGACUAGUGUUUUUUUGGAAACCAAUCAAGGCAGGUGUUGGAAAUUGAGGAUCUUGCUAAUUUGAAUCCUCUGUUUUGAUGUACCGCAUGGCUUAUUUUCCCAUUUUUGGAAUCCACUUCUAUAUCCCUCUGUCAUCUCUAUAUCUAGCUGUAGACACUUUAUCAACAUCUCAUUAGUUUAUUUUAUUUUUAAAAAAAAAAAAAAAACAAUUUCUUCAUCCCCAACUUCGCCUAAUCUUGUGGUAUUUACAUGUGCUCAAGUUUUUGAUGUGUUUGUUUAUCUAUAUGUCAGAAAGAUGAUCUUAGAACUGUGGUGUCCUAUCUACGAAGCAACCCAAAAAUUUCAUGCAUAGGUCUUUGGGGACGAUCUAUGGGCACUGUCACAAGGUAGUUAAUCACACAAUCUUAGAAAUUGAUAAUUUCUUGAUUGCCGAAUUAUAGUAUCUUGAUCUAUUAGCUGUAAUCUCAUGGCCAUUUGUGCUAACUUAUUUCUACUUGUAAAAAUCUUCAUUUGUAUGCCUCUCUCUCUCUCUCUCAUGUACAUUAACUAUCCUCUGUUCUUGACAUUAAGACUUAUCUAUUUCAAUUUCGAUCAUUCAUUCAGACAUUCAAAUGGGAAUAAGUCUGCUGCAUGGAUUUGUAAUUUGAUUCAGACACUUCUUACAUCUUUGGUUGCUUUUUUCUCAUCUUAAAAAUGACUACAGGGUUAAAGAAUCAUAACACAUCAUCCCAUGCUUUAUAAUUUUUCAAAACUAUGCCGUCAUGUUUUUCUUUUUAGCUGAUCUGUUAAUGUCAGUAGGCUAAUGGUGCAAAUUGAAGAAGUUCGAAUAUCAAAUAAAAUAGGUUUGUAGAUUUUUUUCAAGAUAUUAGUCAUUGUAUUGAGAUUUUUUAUUCUGCUGCACAGUAUUGCUUACUGCCACUCUGAUAGGGUUCUUCACCGAGAUUUGAAACCUUAGAAUUUGCUGAUAGAUAGAUGCACUAAUGCACUGAAGCUUGCGGACUUUGGAUUAGCUAGGGCAUUUGGAAAUUUCUAUCUGUACGCUCACUCACGAGGUAUUUUUGUGCUGUCAUCUUGAGCAUUCCUGGUUCUUGUUACUGUUUGUUAGUUGGGUUUUAGCACCUUACCAAGGAGAUGGGUAGAGAGUUCUGCCAACUCAGAGGUCAGAUGCAAGUUCAAGGUCCUAAUCAGAGGUCGGGCCCAGACGAUCUGGGCCGUCGGUAAGAACAUGGCAUUUCUGGUGCUGAGGGGAGGUUAUACCGUGCAAUGCAUUUUGACCCUCACUCCGGAAUUGGUCAGCAGGCAGAUGGUGAGGUUUGCAGCUGGGAUCAACUGGGAAUUAAUUAUUGAUAUCAAAGCGAUUGCCACCAUUCCCCAAGUUCAGAUCAAAGGGAAAUCACAGCAGGCAAUUUUUGUUAUAUGAAGAUUUUGUUGAGAUCCAGACUCCAAAGUUGAUAGUAGGUGCAAGUGAAGGUGGUUCAGCUAUUUUCAAACCAGACUACAAAGGGAAGCCUGCUUGCCUAGCACAGUCACCUCAGCUUCACAAGAAAAUAUCAAUUUGCGGUGAUUUUGGACAUGUUUUUGAGAUCGGUCCUGUUUUCAGAGUGGAGGAUUCCUGCACGCAUAGACAUUUGUUACUUGCCGAAGACUUUGCAACUCAAUUUCCAAGAAGGGGUUCAAAUGCUUAAGGAAUCUCUAUGCUGAUUGGUUCCCAACUUCUCUUUCUCACAUCGUCAACCGUAUUUGUUUACUUUGGUUUGAUAUUGUUAUGGUUGAUAGGUGCAUGCCUUACGACAUGGUAUGAAACUUAGGCCGAUGUUACUUAGAGAUUGAUGCUAGUUGGUGUUGGACAUUGUAGGCAUGUUAAACUAGAGAACAUGCCCAAAAUUUUCACUGAUGGGUGGCCCAUAGCCCAAUGCUACAUCUAUUUGGAAGGACAAAUGAGUUAAACUUAGGAAUUUCAAUUUAACCCAGAGAAAAAAAAAAAUCUUUUCAUAGUUACUAUAUAUAUGAGAAAAUAGGUCUUGUAAUGCACGCAUGUUUCUCUCAUGUCCAACUCGAAACUAAUAUAAAUGCAUUUGGAGUAGAGACCCUCAAUAUGAAUGCUAAUGAAGGACACUAUGAUUUGUUUAUUUCCAUUUUGUUAGAUUAGAAAAUGCAGUUCAAUUCAAUAUUAAAUCCAAACACACACAUACAAAUAGUUCAUUGACAUUCCAUUUGUGGUCUGCACAUCUUUUAUGCUAACAAUGCAGCUAUAACUUGUAUGCAUAGGAUGCUGGCAUCAAAGUUGAUCCGUUGGGGGAUCUAGAUAUGGAGUUGGAAAGAAAAUUGGGGCAGUUU